rnacentral:rRNA from 1 species
GUGAGGAAUAUUGGACAAUGGGCGCAAGCCUGAUCCAGCCAUGCCGCGUGCAGGAAGACGCAUCUAUGGUGUGUAAACUGCUUUUGUACGGGAAGAAACACUCCCUCGUGAGGGAGCUUGACGGUACCGUAAGAAUAAGGAUCGGCUAACUCCGUGCCAGCAGCCGCGGUAAUACGGAGGAUCCAAGCGUUAUCCGGAAUCAUUGGGUUUAAAGGGUCCGUAGGCGGUUUAAUAAGUCAGUGGUGAAAGCCCAUCGCCCAACGAUGGAACGGCCAUUGAUACUGUUAGACUUGAAUUACAAGGAAGUAACUAGAAUAUGUAGUGUAGCGGUGAAAUGCUUAGAUAUUACAUGGAAAACCAAUUGCGAAGGCAGGUUACUACUUGUGGAUUGACGCUGAUGGACGAAAGCGUGGGGAGCGAACAGGAUUAGAUACCCUGGUAGUCC